AUUUAUAUAGUAUAAAUAUUACAUUUAAUUUCCAAUUAAAAAAUUUAAUUUAUUUUAAUAUAAAUA
rnacentral:tRNA from 1 species